rnacentral:rRNA from 1 species
AACGUAGGUACCGAGCGUUAUCCGGAUUUACUGGCCGUAAAGCGCGUUCAGGCGGUUUGGCAAGUCGGGCAUGAAAUCUCUCGGCUCAACCGGGAGAGGUUGUCCGAUACUUCCAGACUUGAGGGCAGUAGAGGGUGGUGGAAUUCCGGGUGUAGUGGUGAAAUGCGUAGAUAUCCGGAGGAACACCAGUGGCGAAAGCGGCCACCUGGACUGCACCUGACGCUGACACGCGAAAGCUAGGGGAGCGAACGGG